ensembl:snoRNA
AUCCUGUGAUGACAAAAUCAAAUAACUUUUCUGACACCUACUAUGAGAGCUGUACUCCAGCUCCUGAUUCUGUCUUUAUUCUGAGGCUC